GGGCAGAGCACAAUCGACGCGGGCAAGGAAGGAGUUUUGACGCAGGCUGAGAUCAAGAGGCAAGAACGUGGGGCAAAUUCGAAUCAGAGAUAUACAAACCAACAAAAGUUACAAAACGCACGUGUUGGGUUAAAAAAAAAAAAAAUACGCCACAUAAGGUGUGUGAAGAGUGCAAUGCUACCAGGACUGAUGUAUAAUAACAUUAGUUUAAA